rnacentral:rRNA from 1 species
UACGGAGGGUGCAAGCGUUAUCCGGAUUCACUGGGUUUAAAGGGCGUGUAGGCGGGUAGUUAAGUCAGUGGUGAAAUCUCCAGGCUCAACCUGGAAACUGCCAUUGAUACUAUCUAUCUUGAAUACUGUUGAGGUAGGCGGAAUAAGUCAUGUAGCGGUGAAAUGCAUAGAUAUGACUUAGAACACCAAUUGCGAAGGCAGCUUACUAAACAGUUAUUGACGCUGAGGCACGAAAGCGUGGGGAUCAAACAGG